AACGAACGCUGGCAGCAGGCUUAACACAUGCAAGUCGAACGCAUCGCAAGAUGAGUGGCAGACGGGUGAGUAACGCGUGGGAACAUACCCUUUUCUACGGAAUAGCUCUGGGAAACUGGAAUUAAUACCGUAUACGCCCUACGGGGGAAAGAUUUAUCGGGGAAGGAUUGGCCCGCGUUGGAUUAGCUAGUUGGUGGGGUAAAGGCCUACCAAGGCGACGAUCCAUAGCUGGUCUGAGAGGAUGAUCAGCCACAUUGGGACUGAGACACGGCCCAAACUCCUACGGGAGGCAGCAGUGGGGAAUAUUGGACAAUGGGCGCAAGCCUGAUCCAGCCAUGCCGCGUGAGUGAUGAAGGCCUUAGGGUUGUAAUGCUCUUUCACCGAUGAAGAUAAUGACGGUAGUCGGAGAAGAAGCCCCGGCUAACUUCGUGCCAGCAGCCGCCGUAACAC
rnacentral:rRNA from 1 species